rnacentral:rRNA from 1 species
UACGGAGGAUUCAAGCGUUAUCCGGAUUUAUUGGGUCUAAAGGGUGCGUAGGCGGUCGGAUAAGUUAGAGGUGAAAUCCCGGGGCUCAACUUCGGAAUUGCCUCUGAUACUGUUCGGCUAGAGAGUAGUUGCGGUAGGCGGAAUGUAUGGUGUAGCGGUGAAAUGCUUAGAGAUCAUACAGAACACCGAUUGCGAAGGCAGCUUACCAAGCUACUUCUGACGUUGAGGCACGAAAGCGUGGGGAGCAAACAGG